UAGCUGAGUCGGUAAAGAAUCUGCCUGCAAUGCAGGAGACCCAGGUUCGAUUUCUGG
rnacentral:tRNA from 1 species